ensembl:snRNA U6 U6 spliceosomal RNA
GUGCUCACUUCCACAGCACUAAUAUUGGAAUGAUACAGAAGAUUGGUUUGGUCCCUGAGCAAGGAUGACACAUCAAUUUGUGAAGUGUUCCAUAUUUAA